ACGAAUUCGCCCUUAGAGUUUGAUCCUGGCUCAGAUUGAACGCUGGCGGCAGGCCUAACACAUGCAAGUCGAACGGUAGCACAGAGAGCUUGCUCUCGGGUGACGAGUGGCGGACGGGUGAGUAAUGUCUGGGAAACUGCCUGAUGGAGGGGGAUAACUACUGGAAACGGUAGCUAAUACCGCAUAACGUCUUCGGACCAAAGUGGGGGACCUUCGGGCCUCAUGCCAUCAGAUGUGCCCAGAUGGGAUUAGCUAGUAGGUGGGGUAACGGCUCACCUAGGCGACGAUCCCUAGCUGGUCUGAGAGGAUGACCAGCCACACUGGAACUGAGACACGGUCCAGACUCCUACGGGAGGCAGCAGUGGGGAAUAUUGCACAAUGGGCGCAAGCCUGAUGCAGCCAUGCCGCGUGUAUGAAGAAGGCCUUCGGGUUGUAAAGUACUUUCAGCGGGGAGGAAGGGGAUAAGGUUAAUAACCUUGUUCAUUGACGUUACCCGCAGAAGAAGCACCGGCUAACUCUGUGCCAGCAGCCGCGGUAAUACAGAGGGUGCAAGCGUUAAUCGGAAUUACUGGGCGUAAAGCGCGCGUAGGUGGUUCGUUAAGUUGGAUGUGAAAUCCCCGGGCUCAACCUGGGAACUGCAUUCAAAACUGACGAGCUAGAGUAUGGUAGAGGGUGGUGGAAUUUCCUGUGUAGCGGUGAAAUGCGUAGAUAUAGGAAGGAACACCAGUGGCGAAGGCGACCACCUGGACUGAUACUGACACUGAGGUGCGAAAGCGUGGGGAGCAAACAGGAUUAGAUAC
rnacentral:rRNA from 1 species